GACGUAGGGCGCGAGCGUUGUCCGGAUUUAUUGGGCGUAAAGAGCUCGUAGGCGGCUUGUUGCGUCGACUGUGAAAACCUGCGGCUCAACCGUGUGGUCUGCAGUCGAUACGGGCAGGCUGGAGUUCGGUAGGGGAGACUGGAAUUCCUGGUGUAGCGGUGAAAUGCGCAGAUAUCAGGAGGAACACCGGUGGCGAAGGCGGGUCUCUGGGCCGAUAUUGACGCUGAGGAGCGAAAGCGUGGGGAGCGAACAGG
rnacentral:rRNA from 1 species